AUUGAACGCUGGCGGCAGGCCUCCCUUAUGCAAGUCGAGCGGAUGAAGGGAGCUUGCUCCUGGCUUCAGCGGCGGACGGGUGAGUAAUGCCUAGGAAUCUGCCUGGUAGUGGGGGAUAACGUCCGGAAACGGGCGCUAAUACCGCAUACGUCCUGAGGGAGAAAGUGGGGGAUCUUCGGACCUCACGCUAUCAGAUGAGCCUAGGUCGGAUUAGCUAGUUGGUGGGGUAAAGGCCUACCAAGGCGACGAUCCGUAACUGGUCUGAGAGGAUGAUCAGUCACACUGGAACUGAGACACGGUCCAGACUCCUACGGGAGGCAGCAGUGGGGAAUAUUGGACAAUGGGCGAAAGCCUGAUCCAGCCAUGCCGCGUGUGUGAAGAAGGUCUUCGGAUUGUAAAGCACUUUAAGUUGGGAGGAAGGGCAGUAAGUUAAUACCUUGCUGUUUUGACGUUACCAACAGAAUAAGCACCGGCUAACUUCGUGCCAGCGGCCGCGGUAAUACGAAGGGUGCAAGCGUUAAUCGGAAUUACUGGGCGUAAAGCGCGCGUAGGUGGUUCAGCAAGUUGGAUGUGAAAUCCCCGGGCUCAACCUGGGAACUGCAUCCAAAACUACUGAGCUAGAGUACGGUAGAGGGUGGUGGAAUUUCCUGUGUAGCGGUGAAAUGCGUAGAUAUAGGAAGGAACACCAGUGGCGAAGGCGACCACCUGGACUGAUACUGACACUGAGGUGCGAAAGCGUGGGGAGCAAACAGGAUUAGAUACCCUGGUAGUCCACGCCGUAAACGAUGUCGACUAGCCGUUGGGAUCCUUGAGAUCUUAGUGGCGCAGCUAACGCGAUAAGUCGACCGCCUGGGGAGUACGGCCGCAAGGUA
rnacentral:rRNA from 1 species